AUGCCAUUUGGACUCUCAAAUGCACCAAGUACCUUUAUGCACUUAAUGAAUCAAGUCCUUAGACCCUUCUUAUCCCACUUUGUUGUGGUCUAUUUCGAUGACAUCUUGAUCUAUAGCAAGGAUGAGGAUGAACACUUUGAUCACAUUCGGAAGGUGCUAGAAGUACUAAGGGAAAAUGAGCUCUACGUCAACUUGAAGAAAUGUGUUUUCCUGCAAACACAACUUCUUUUCCUAGGAUUCGUCAUAACAUGUGACGGCAUUCGUGUUGAUGAUUCUAAGGUUGAAGCAAUCCGAGAAUGGCCAACUCCUAAGACCAUUUCUGAGGUAAGAAGCUUUCAUGGCCUUGCAACUUUCUAUAGGCGAUUUGUUAAGAAUUUCAGCACUAUCAUCGCACCAAUUACCGAGUGUUUGAAGAAAGGAAAGUUCAAAUGGGCAGAAGCAGAUGAAGCUAGCUUCAAUGAGAUUAAACAAAAGCUAUCAUAA
rnacentral:rRNA from 1 species